GCAUCAGUAGCUCAGGCAGAGUACUGGUCUUGUAAACCAGAGGUCGAAGGUUAACACCUUCCUUUUGCU
rnacentral:tRNA from 1 species